UACGAAGGGGGCUAGCGUUGUUCGGAAUUACUGGGCGUAAAGGGCGCGUAGGCGGUUUGAUUAGUCAGAUGUGAAAAUUCCCGGGCUUAACCUGGGCGCUGCAUUUGAUACUGUCAGGCUUGAAUUCAGGAGAGGAUAGCGGAAUUCCCAGUGUAGAGGUGAAAUUCGUAGAUAUUGGGAAGAACACCGGUGGCGAAGGCGGCGACCUGGUCCUUGACUGACGCUGAGCGCGAAAGCGUGGGUAGCAAACAGG
rnacentral:rRNA from 1 species